GUGAGGAAUAUUGCGCAAUGGAGGCAACUCUGACGCAGCCAUGCCGCGUGCAGGAAGAAGGCGCUACGCGUUGUAAACUGCUUUUAACCGGGAAGAAACCCCAGGACGUGUCCUGGGUUGACGGUACCGGAGGAAUAAGCACCGGCUAACUUCGUGCCAGCAGCCGCGGUAAUACGAAGGGUGCAAGCGUUAUCCGGAUUCAUUGGGUUUAAAGGGUGCGUAGGCGGAGCGUUAAGUCAGUGGUGAAAUCCUGCAGCUUAACUGUAGACUUGCCAUUGAUACUGGCGCUCUUGAGUGCGCUUGAAGUGGGCGGAAUGUGCCGUGUAGCGGUGAAAUGCUUAGAUAUGGCACAGAACACCAAUUGCGAAGGCAGCUCACUAAGGUGAUACUGACGCUGAGGCACGAAAGCGUGGGGAUCGAACAGGAUUAGAUACCCUUGUAGUCC
rnacentral:rRNA from 1 species